CCUUAUGGGCUUAUUGUGAUGAUACCAUUAUCUGACCUGAGCAGCUAAACAACAUCAAGCCUGGUUAAUACUUGGAUGGGAACCCACCAAUGAAUACCAGGUGCUCUAGGCC
rnacentral:rRNA from 1 species